CCGAAAAAUUGUAACAAUUUAAGAUUCCUUGACAUAUAAAUUUACGUUUGCCAACUCUAUACUUUCAAUAGACAAUCAACGCUGGCAGGUCCCCUGCUCCUCAUUGGCUCAAUAUCAAGCAUGCCUAUUCUGUAGUUUAACGAUAUAUUCAGCGUGCUAAAAUCAAUACAGACAGUCUGACAAAUAAUUAUAUAGAAGUAACCGAUCUUUAUGUCAUUAUUGCACAAAAUCGCCGAAAAGUUUCUGUCAGUUAUUGCAUAAGUCAAUUUCUGCCAGGCUCUGUGUUACGCACGUAGAUUUCUUUUUUUAACGUUAUUUUUUUACACUGUGCCCACUGGGAACAGAUAAUGGGGAUAGGGGUAUCAAGGGAUGUUAAUUCCUCAGAGAAAAGAUGUACUAAAAAGAAUUUGGCUUUUUUCCCCUCUAUUCGCUCUUAUUCGAGUGCUUGACUCAUCUAGUUUGCAUAAUUUGAGCACCUAUAUAUGCUUAUUCCACUACCUUUGAUUGAGUAUAAUCAACAUACAAGGAUGGCAUGGAAUAAGUGGUAAAUUGUGUUUUGUAUUGAGGCGAGUACAACACGUAAAAUGGUUUCAAUAAUAUAUGGACUUAAAUCAAACUGUAUACAACUUGAUAGCCAUGGUGUCUAUGUCUCAUUCUCCUUGCGCUAAGCAUUCAAAAAAUUUUCAUUUCACUAUUUAUGCCUAGCCGUUAUCUAACAGUUUUAGCUUUACUUCGUUUGUGCCUAAAAUGAACUUAAUGUUUAGGUCAAACUUUCUUUUACUGUCAAUUCUGCGAAAGUUAGCACGCGUUUGGACUGCCGCAUUUUAAUAAGGUUAUUUUGGUAUAACUUUGAAUGCCGCAAAAGGUGGCAAGAGCACCGGCCCCUUGAAGCCGUUGUACGCAAAGAUAGAACUAGCACCUAACUUUGCGAACCAAGCUAUAAUGAACAACUCUCAUGUGAAUUUGACAUGUUGUACGGCCCAUCUAUUUCGACAAUCCCCGAGGGUGAAUGAGACGGAUACGACACCAAACGUUGUCCAUAUUAAAAAAAAUGGAAUCAGCAUUGGCCGCGAUCAGAAUUCGGUGGACGUGUAAGUUUUUCGGGUACACCAAGGUCAAGCUGAGAAACUCUUGUAGCACGAGGAUGGGCGAGAUUUUCUCUCUAGUCAGUCUAUACAUUUUUUGUUAACAUAGCUGUAUUUCGUGCCUCAGUUAUUUGAAUUCCACUUAUAUACCGCAUGUUGUGUCUAGAGUUCACGCUUAUAUUUUGAGGUCAUUUGGGAAAUGGAAAAUUCGAGACAAUCGAAGUUCGAAUGGAGUUUUUGUUAACAGCAGGAAGAUCGUUGAUCAGGUGCAGCUAAAGGACGGCGACUUAUUGGUAUUUGGAAGCGCCAGAAAAUAUUAUAUAGACAGAGGUUUGCAAUAUGAAUAUAGCGAGUAUCGUUACAUCUUUCGCAUUAAUCAUUUGGACCCUGAGAAUAAAUAUGAGGCAGACGAUUGUCGUUCAGCUGAGGCAAGAGUACAGAAUUUAUCGUCAAAAGAUGGUGGAAAGGCUAUUGAUCAUAAUCGACAGAAGAGAUCUAGGGCUGAAUUCAACAAAUUAUUUUUUAAAGAAGAGGACGAAUGUAUAAGCAAUAUGUUGAAAAGGGUGAGCAGACGAGAGCCAGAAUACGGUGUAUCGGCUACGAAUAUGGUACCUGUGGUACCCAUGACGCUUGCUAUAAAUCCAGGAGAAAAUUGUGUGUUUGAGCAGUUUCCCUUUCCUUACGUACCGUCUUUAGAAGAGUACAUGGUUGUUCCAAGGAAGACCCUGGAUAUGAGGUUACGACGAAGUACACCUUUGUUGUUACAGGGAAUACCUUCGAGGAAUCUAUUUCAAGCGUGUUAUUUAAAUGGAGAGUCGAAUGGUGUAUUCCAGAACGUUUCUCUGGCUGCCACUAGUAUGUCGUCUGCGUUUGGUUUUAGUACAGUUUCGUCACAGAGAAUAGAGAACUUCGAAGCUGCGGCAUGUUCGGUUUGCCGAGAAGCGGUAUUCGAACGAGUGCGUUUACCUUGUAUGCAUUUACUUUGUAGAGGUUGUUUAGGUCUUUCAUUUUUUCAGACAGAACAAUGCUCAGUGUGUGCGUAUUAUCGUUCGAGGGCUGGCCAUAUUGUUUCUGACUACUUGUCGGCCGACUCGUUGGUUUUUGAGCACUCGUCGGGUGGUGAUGGGCUAGGUAGAAGUGAAAUGCGUUUUUUACCGUUUCUCGCGUCCGACAUCAUCGAUAGAAUGGUGGUUGGUUUGAACGUUGGAUGUCCAUGGAACGACCAGGACAGAAGGAAUUUUUUUGAGUUGUUGAAGCGGUCGAUUAGGGAACCAAAAUUUGACUACUGUCGAAAGAUUGGGUUGACGUCUGAUUGGGUGGAGCUAGCUUCGAAUGUGGAUAUUAUAGUAGCGUGCGGAAAUUUGGAUAUUUCAAUCGCGGAAGUGGCCAAUGAACUGGCCGAGACUGAGAAUGCGCGGUCGAGUGCCUCAGAAGUGAUGGCCGCUCUUCGCUCUGAGCUUUUGCAAAUCGUUCGCUCAAGUGGCCGAUAGUUUUUUACUGCGCGAAAAAAGAGGCAUAUUUGGCCUCCCUAGAUUUGGCCGAUAUCGACUUUCACUAUUUUUUUGUUCAGUACGUGCAUUCUCAUGCAUUCUGCAUUUUUAAGUUGUUAUAGCUCGGAGUGUCGUGCGCCUUUGUGGGGAUGUCUUCGA